rnacentral:rRNA from 1 species
GACGAACGCUGGCGGCGUGCUUAACACAUGCAAGUCGAGCGGUAAGGCUCCUUCGGGAGUACACGAGCGGCGAACGGGUGAGUAACACGUGAGCAAUCUGCCCUUCACUUUGGGAUAACUUCCGGAAACGGAAGCUAAUACCGAAUACGACCAUUAUAGACAUCUGUUGAUGGUGGAAAGUUCCGGCGGUGAAGGAUGAGCUCGCGGCCUAUCAGCUUGUUGGUGAGGUAACGGCCCACCAAGGCGACGACGGGUAGCCGGCCUGAGAGGGUGACCGGCCACACUGGGACUGAGACACGGCCCAGACUCCUACGGGAGGCAGCAGUGGGGAAUAUUGGACAAUGGGCGAAAGCCUGAUCCAGCAACGCCGCGUGA